ACACCUCCACCUACAUCCACAGCUCCACCUACAUCCACCUCUCCUCCAGCUUUCACCUCCAUCACUCUUCCUCGACCACUCUCUCUUCCUCUUCUCUCUCUGUUGUCAUGUGUUGGAUCCUCCUGUGUUGUGGUUCUACUGGUGUUACUGGUUCUGCUGGUGAGACGAUGUGUUCACAGGAAACCUGAAGAUGAAGAUGAACCUGUAGAAGAUGACAUCACAUAUGGUGACAUCCAAAUAUCAACCAAACAAACUCGAGACUUUAAACCACAGCCAGAGACCAUCUACUCUUCAGUGAAGUCCAACCACGGACGUCCAGCUGCUGGUCUCUAACUGGCCCCCAGCACCUGAGACCAGAAGACAUCCACAUGUUAAUUUUUCACUGAUAUAAACUAAAAUGAUUCAAAACUUCAAAAACCAUAUGAGGAUAUAUUUUUAACUGAAAAUUUAAAUGUGUAUUUUGCUGCAGUGACAAAGAAUAUAAAUAUGUUAAUGUGUUUCAUGGCCAGAGCUUCACUGUUUAUAUUUAAGUAUGACUCAAACACCUUGUUCUUGUUCCCUCAGCUACUACUUAAUUUCUGCGUGUGAAUAAUAAAUCUUUGCUCUCACUUAUUUUCCUCGUGUGGUUAAAAGGAAAUGAGUCACAUAUAAAGUCUGCUGCCGUCUACUGGUAACACUGAGCAAUACAAUAGAGCUCGAGCCAAAUAUCACAAUUAUCUAUGAUAUUGAUAGAGAGAAAGACACAUUUACAUUCCAGCUCCAAGCAAAGCAGCUGCUUUUCACAUGACAAUACUUUGACAGUGUGAUAUCUUUCAAUUGACUCCUGAAGUCAUUUGUGUUUAACUGCUUUUUACCAAAAUAAUGGUUCCCAGAGUGGCAGCAGGGGCGUCUAACAAA